AGUGAAAGCGCUCUGGGUUCUGGAGAUCUAAUCUUUGUCAGAAAAGGACUUUGAGCUGGGAGCAGUAAUGCAUUGUGCUACAGCAGUGCACAAGCAGGACUUUUUUUUUUUCCCUUGUCCUGAUUAAUUGGUUCAGUGUUAAGUGAGGUAACAGUUUAAAGAACUAACUCAUUAUGUGGAAUUACUCUGUCUGCUGUGAUACUUAAAGUCAUCCUGCGACAGUCUGGAGCUCAAUGCAUAAAAUAUUACAUUGAAAACAGUGAGAUCUCUGUUCUUAGGGUUGUCUUCAUGAAACUGUCCACUGGAUGACUGUUAAAGAAAGAAAGAAUGAACAAGGAGAAAAGGCACAGAAACAAGCAGCUGACCAUUUGUGGUGAAUUUAUUUUCAACCUCCUUGGGAAGAUUAUACUACCUGGAGAGCCUUCAGAAACAUUGAGCCACUCAGAGGGGCUUUCUGCCUGUUAUCUUCUGUAUUAAGACAUUGGCUUGGGCUUCAAGAGCCUCCACAGCAUUUUCUGCUCUGCCUUUCCUCAGAGCAGCAGCUUUAAAUCCAAAGAAUCACCACUUAGAGCAGAGACUGGGCUUGUCAUAGUCCAAAACAAGGGUCCUGAUUGCCCCAUCAUGUGUAGGUCCUGUCUUCUUCCCAAGAGUUUUUUUAGACAUAGGGGAAAAAAAAAAAGAAAAAAAAAAGUUGAAGGAAGAGAAUCUCUAUGGGGAUUGUCCAGCAACUUCGAUUUUCUGAGCUUACCCAAGUGUAGCUGUCAAGUGUGUGGGGUAAAUAAAUGAGCUAAAAGGCCACCCCUACUGUGCUCUUAGGUCAGCUGGAGGAGUCAGGUGGAGCUCCUUGUAAAACAAAAAGGACCAAAUAGGUCCAAUACAUUUGCAUUUACAUUUAGCAUGACCAUACAAAUGUAAAAUAAAGGGAAUUCCAAAAGGAAACCCUUUUAGCCACUGGGAACAAGGCUGGCAAGGCUGAGGGUCUGGCUGCCCAGGCUGAACAUCACAACACCAGGGGUAAUGUCAAGAGGCAGCAAUAGGACUGUCAGAUACUGCUGCUGGCACCAUCCUGUUACUGAAAAUAUCUGUGAAUUCCACUAGUUCAAAGAAUCUGUCAAUUAAUAUCUUAAUCCAUAAGCAUAGAAAACACAACUAUUUUGCCAUACAAUCAUGGAAGCUAAUCCUGGCAAGGUCAUUACUUUCACCACUUCCCUUGUAAUCCCCCUCAUACACAUACAGAAAAGGCUCUGAAGCCUAAUCUUUCCAGUGCUGGAAAUGAGACUUUUAUGCAAACUGAUAAAAGUUCUUUGUUUGAUUUAUCUGUAAACCAAAAUAGUCUGGUAGUUUGCCUUGAAGUUAAGAGAAAAAAGCCAUAGUCUGUCAAAUCCUGUGUAUUCCUUUUUAUGUAUUUUGUCAUUUCCCCUCUAUUAACUCUGUCCUAAGGUUGAAAAGGAGAGUACACUCCAGCUUCCAUUUACAUACUGUACUUUAGCUUUGACUUUUUUUUUCACAACCUGUUAAAUUUAUUGACUAUAAGCCCCUUGAGCUAUUGAAGAGUAUGCUGCUUACAUUAGAUAUCUUUUGAAAGAUGCUACUGGUAGCCUGUUUUAAUGUGUUUUCUCUCUCCAGAUACAAUUUGUCUUACAUAUUCAUUGGUUUUUAGUGCCAAGACCAGUUUCUUCAUUGUAGCUGUUGUUGGAAGUCUCUCGCAGAUAUUAAGGUUUAGUAAUUUUUCAUUGCUGCUCAAGGGAUCUGAGUGUCAAAUGAAAUAAUGAGUGGGAAUUUGGGCAUUGAAAACCCCCUAAGCAGCUGGCUUUGGAGAUCUCAAUAAAAAAAAAAGGGGGAAAUAAUUCAAGAUGGCAUGAAAGACACUUUGGGAUAUCUAGGAUGUUUUAUAUGUACAAAUAGAGCUGGCCAAAAAGUAGUACUUUCCAUUCACUGACAAUUAUAUUUCAAUUUAAUUUCAAGAUUUCAUAUAGCCUAAAAGUCAGAGAAAAUUUCAUUUGCAAAAUGCUAGCACAUGGAGCUGGGAAACAGAAUAUGUUCCCCUGCAUACUGCAGCUGCUUUUUCUAGCGAUGGAGCUGACUGGAAUACUGAUUUCAUUAAGCAAGGGCUCUGGGUGGGAAGGAUCUCUUUUCAGAUUAGUCAGGGCUUUCAGGUGCUCAGUUUCACAGGAGAGUCCAGAAUCCUUGAGAGGGGAUCUCAAGGCACCCAGACCCCUCCUGUGAGGGUGAUCUGGAGUAUGGCAAUGUGAUGCUGAGUGCUCUGUGGUUCUGGCUCUCACUGAUAGGAGCCCAUUCCUUCUCCAUGCCCUGAUGUAGAUGUGAGCUUUGGAACAUCAUUUGUUCUCAGUACAGGAUGUUUGCACCUUGGCUGUUCAGGCUAACUCACAAUCUGGCCAGGUAGGAUUCCCACAGCAGCAUGGAUUUCACAGCACAACGUAGAGACAGCAGGAUUGGGAUUUUCAGAUUUAUGCUGCCAUAAGUAUCCCGCCUAGUAUGCUUAAACAUUAGCUGUAACAUACCCACAUUGUUGGUUGUACAUCUGGGGCAGAGCUUGGAUUUCCCUUCAGAUGGUCUGCAUCCCACUCCGUGUGCAAUCACUCGUGUUGGAUCCUGAGGCAGAGCUCUGCUGUGGCAUUUUUAUUUCUAGAAAAUCCAUACCAAAAGUCCCACUCCUUUCUCUCUGGGAAAGCCAUGGGAGCAUCCCCUGGAACUCCAGGCACUGAGCUGUGCUCCAGUGAGGUACAGGUGAGAUCUCUGUGCACUGCAGCUCACAUUCCAGCCCUUACCAGCUCAUGCCAAGCUUCCAGUUUUUCCAUCCAGAAUGUCAUACCUUCCACAUCUGUUUUUCUGAGGAACUAUCUGUGAUCUCAACAAGUACAGAAAAGAAAGGUAAUUCAGUGAAUGUUUCACAUGGAAAAUCACCUAAUGGAAUUUGGGCUUUCAGUGAACAAAGGCCAUGGUGUCCCCAUCCCCACUUGUUGGUUUAGACCCUCUGUGGCCACAUCAUUGUGGGGGUGAUCUCUCCCUACAGGGAAACCAGGACAGCCUAAAAUAUUUCCAUACCUAUUGUUUCAGAGCACCUAAAGCUUUCACAGGCACAGAUGUUCCAGCUGUUAAUGAAAUAAAUGUAGUUUAAGUUACAUUUACUACUAGUGGGAGUGGAAGAGGGAUAUAUUUUGGCUCAUAGUGUAUAUGUCAAGUAUAUGCAAUUGUCUAUUUCUGAAGCUUUAUAGUCCCCAUCAUCAUAAUUAACUUAAGUAAAACUGUAUUUAGCUUGAAUAUUACUUUCAAUUUGCUGCAAAGUAAAAUCACCAAAUAAAUCAAUAAUUUACAAUCUAACAACAGUGCAGAGUUUUCCCAAAAAACAAACAAACAAGCCAUUAUGCCUGGGCUUUUCUAAAUGCAGCACUGCUCCUUGCCUUGCUUCUCUGAGAGAAUGUGACAAUUUCCAACACCAGACAUUUUUCACUCUAGCAAGAAGGAAUCAUGUAAAACCAAACAAAUAUUACACAAAACAAAGCUUUGAUUAGGAGCCUUUUCACAUAUUCAAUGUCUAGGAUGUUUAACAUAUUUUACAUUUAGAAUAUAUCAAGCAAAGUCCCCUGAUUAGACUUGGUAUCAAGAGAAACACAUUUUAUUAGACAGGGAGCAUGUCAGGGCUUGGUGCCAAUCAGCUGCAAUAAGUUCUGUUACAAACACAUCCAACACCCACAUUUGCAGAAGUGCAAGAGUGAACAUGUUUCUUGUGUUCCUCUUUCCUGCUCUGUUUUCCUACAAAAUCAUAAGAGGCAAGUGGAAGUGAUCUCUUGGUUCUUACUGCAGAAAAAAAAAAAGGUGAAAGAAAUUGUCCAUGGCAUACAGAAAUCACAGGUUUUCAUUGUUGAAAAUUGCUAUUGGGCUUGGAUGCUUUUGUACAAGUCAUUGCUAUGGAGACUGGAUUAAUUGGCUGCAUUUCUCAUGUGGGGGGUAGGUAAUACUCAGUGAACUCAAAAGGUGGAGAGAAAAUAAUUCUGAUAUGUGUUAAAUUAGUGGUGUUCAUAUUGCCAGGAAUGUAGCAGGGACCAAAAGUAUAACAAAAGUCUGAAACUUGGGGAUAUUUAGAAUAAAGAGAACAUCCAUGGGUGAAUUAUUUAAAAGGAGUUUGGGACCAGGGGCUGUUAAUCCCAAUUUCAGAAAGGAAUAAAACUCCUUCAUGUUUUCAUU